rnacentral:tRNA from 1 species
GGGGAUGUAGCUCAGUCCGGCAGAGCACCUGGUUUGCAUCCAGGGGGUCAGGGGUUCGAAUCCCCUCAUCUCCACCA